GACGAACGCUGGCGGCGUGCUUAACACAUGCAAGUCGAACGAUGAAGCCGGAGCUUGCUCUGGUGAAUUAGUGGCGAACGGGUGAGUAACACGUGAGUAACCUGCCCUUGACUCUGGGAUAACUGCGGGAAACUGUAGCUAAUACCGGAUACGACCCUCGGAGGCAUCUCCUGGGGGUGGAAAGAAUUUCGGUCAAGGAUGGACUCGCGGCCUAUCAGCUAGUUGGUGAGGUAAAGGCUCACCAAGGCGACGACGGGUAGCCGGCCUGAGAGGGUGACCGGCCACACUGGGACUGGGACACGGCCCAGACUCCUACGGGAGGCUGCAGUGGGGAAUAUUGCACAAUGGGCGCAAGCCUGAUGCAGCAACGCCGCGUGAGGGAUGACGGCCUUCGGGUUGUAAACCUCUUUUAGCAGGGAAGAAGCGAAAGUGACGGUACCUGCAGAAAAAGCACCGGCUAACUACGUGCCAGCCGCCGCGGUAA
rnacentral:rRNA from 1 species